AAGGCAGCCACAGCUUCACUUCCUGCUUACUCCAACUUUCUGCCCGCCUCCUGCCCAUCCCGCGACUCCAGCCUCUCCAGCUCCUGCCACACCUAACUGCAGGUUUCUCCAGGUGCUAGAAGAAGAAAUGGGUGCUGGCUGCUUCUUCUGUCAACUCGACACCAUCUGGAGUCAUUUGCCCAAGCCUGUGGGGGCAUUUUUCUUGAUGGAUGGCUGAUGUGGGAAGGCCCAGUUCACUGUGGGUGGUGCCACCCCAGGGUAGGUGAUCCAGCGUUCUAGCAGGAGCUAGUUCCAGCCAGGAGCUAGCAAGUCAGUAAGCAGCACUCCUUCAGGACCUCUGCUUCAGUUUCUGCCUCCAGGUUCCUGCCUUGUGUUCCCACCCUGAUGUCACUCAGUGAUGGACUGUGAUGCGGAACUGGAAGCUGACACCAACUUUUCCUCCCUGAGGUGCUUUUCGUCAUGGUGUUUCAUCACAGCAACAGAAAUCUAACUACACAAUGUAAUGCAAAAAUAAUGCGUUUUCUGUUCUGCUGGUAUAAACUCAACACCAACUUCAGAUACAUCAGCCAUGAGCAUAAAGUGCAUCAUGUAGCCACACAUCUCUAACACAAGACAAGAAUGGAUGCUGCCAGAGUAAUGUCACUUCCGUUGAUGGAUGCUAAGCAACUAUUUCUCUCGACCUCAGUUCCUCAAAGCUGUUUUUGUUCAAAGCUGGAAGAACUAAGUCUUCUCAUAUGAGCAUGUAAUGAAUGGGCAGGGAUUAACAAAAGCAAAAGGAUGAGGUCUCACAGGAAACAUCCAGGUAAGAAGAUUAAAACAGGAAUGGUGAUUUAAAGUUCAUUCCACCUAUGAUUCAGGUUAUUCCGACUUGAAGGCAUGUUUCUGAGUCUAUUCUUGAACUUACCCGUCUGCUUUAUAGACCCCUGCAGUCCACCACUAGGAGGUCAUUUUGGUUUGGAUCACAAAGCAGUGAACAAAUGGAUUAAUGGACUUUAGAAAUAGCUAAAGUGAGGGUGUAGAGAUGGCUCCGCAGUUAAAGGCAGUGGCUGCUCUUCCAGAACCCAAGUUCAGUUCCACUGGGCAUCGAUAACUCCCUGUAAAUCUAGCCCCCGGGGAUCUGAUCUGAUCUGGCUUCUGUGGGCACAUACAUGGCAUACACAUGACACACACAUAUAUGUAUACCUAAAUUAAAAAAAAAAACAGUUAAAACAGAAAAACAUUGUGACUUCACAGUGUCAAGACAAAUGCUGCCAGGGCUCUGAAUAUCUGAAUGAUGCUUUUGUUUUUUGUUUUUUGAGUCGGGGUUUCUCUGUGUAGCCCUGGCUGUACUGGAACUCUCUCUGUAAACCAGACUGGCCUUGAACUCAGAGAUCCACCUGCCUCUGCCUCCUGAAUGCUGGGAUUAAAGGUGUGUGUCACCACUACCUAGCCUGAUAAAUUCUUGUUAUAAAUGCAAUUUUGUGUGAUUUGUAGGGAAAUGAAUUGUCAAAAAGAAUACAUCACUUUGAUGUGGGAUUUUUUUUUUUUUAAGAUUUAUUUAUUAUGUAUACAAUGUUCUGUCUGCAUGUAUGCCUGCAGGCCAGAAGAGGGCGCCAGAUCUCAUUACAGAUGGUUGUGAGCCACCAUGUGGUUGCUGGGAAUUGAACUCAGGACCUCUGGAAGAACAGUCGGUGCUCUUAACCUCUGAGCCAUCUCUCCAGCCCUGAUGUGGGAUAUUAUCAGGUCCCACAAUUGUAGCUUGUCAACGAAACAGAUAAACAGGGCCUGACGGACACUGCCAGAGGGUCACUGGCCAGAUCCCACAGAGCAGAUCAAAGGCCAGUUUCUUAUUAAUCUGUUCUACAGGCAUACUCUAUGCUUGUCACCUGGCCUCUCCAUAUCUCAAUAUGUGCUCAAAAGUCAAGCCAAAACUUUUUUAAAAUACAAGAUUUAUUUUUUUGUUUUACCUGCAUGUAUGUGUGUGUGUAUCAUGUGUGUGCCUGAUGCCUGAACAGGCCAGGACAUCGGAUCCCUUUGAAUUGUAGUUACAGAUGGUUGUGAGCAUCCAUAUGGGUGCUGAGAAUCAAACCCAGGUCCUCUGGAAGAGAAGCCAGUGCUUUUAAUUACUGAGCCAUCUCUCCAAUCCCUUCUCUGAGCACUGAGGAAGGAUUGUCUUCAUUUUCACACCAGGUCUGCCACCAAGUGUUUGGUUCUGAGGAGGCCUGUCUCUUGAGGACUGUCUUAGUUAGGGUUUCUAUUGCUGUGAAGAGACACCACGACCACAGCAACUCUUAAAAAGGGAAACAUUUAAUUGGGGUGGCUUGUAUUUUUAGAGGUUUAGUCCAUUAUUGUCAUGGCAAGAAGCAAGGUAGCAUUCAGGCAGACAUGAUACUAGAGCAGGAGAUGAGAGUCCUUAUAUCUUGACUCACAGGCAACACCUCAGACAAACCUUUUGGACAAGGACAAAAAGCAGCCACAUUCUUCACCAAAAUAUCACAAGAGCAAUCUCUAGGCAACAUACUAAAAUUCUUCUCUGAAACCUCUUUAACCUGCUCCCCACUACACACACAGAGUUCAAAUCACUUUUGUUUUGUUUUGUUUGAGACAGGGUUUCUCUGUGUAGCUUUGGAGCCUGUCCUGGAACUUCCUUUGGAGACCAGGCUGGCCUUGAACUCACAGAGAUCCACCUGCCUCUGGAAUUCUUUAAUGUGUGCCACCAUUGACCAGCUCAAAUCACUCUUAUCACCACUGUUUUCCACGCCCCUAGUAGUAUGGCUCAUUAAGCAAUGCUUAAAGCAUUCCACUGCUUUCCUAACCCAAAGUACCAAAGUCCAAAUUCCUCCAAACAAAAGCAUGGUCAGGCCUUUCACAGCAGUAUCGUAGUCCCUGGUACCAACUUCUGUCUUAGUCAGGGUUUCUGUUGCUGUGAAGAGACACCAUGACCAUGGCAACUCUUAUAAAGGACAACAUUUAAUUGUGGUGGCUCAAUUACAGGUCAGAGGUUCAGUCCAUUAUCAUCAUGAUGGGACACGGUGGUGUGCAGGCAGAUGUGGUGCUGAAGAGGUAGCUAAGUGUCCUACAUCUUGGAUUGCAGGCAACAGGAAGUGGUCUGUCUCAUUGGGUGUAGCUUGAGCAUAGGAGACCUCAAAGCCCAUCCCCACAGUGACACACUUCCUCCAACAAGGACACAUCUCCCAUUAGUGCCACUCUCUUUGGGGGCCAUCUUCUUUUACACCACUACAAAGGCCUUAUGGUUGGGUCUGAAAUAUACUUAUUUUCCACAAAAGAUUGUAGUACUUGCUGGAUCAAACACAAGGCCUCACACAUGCUAGACCAGUGACCUAUUAUGUUACAGAUGUAAUUUACCUAAACAUGUAAUAAUUCUUUAAUUGUGUUUGAAUAAGUCAACAGACAUGUAUAUAUGUGUAUGUUAUAUAAUUUUGGGUUUUUUUUUUUGUUUGCUUGUUUUGUUUUCUCUUU